UACGUAGGGGGCAAGCGUUGUCCGGAAUCAUUGGGCGUAAAGGGCGUGUAGGCGGCUCGGUAAGUCCGCUGUAAAAGUCCAGGGCUCAACCCUGGAAAGCCGGUGGAAACUGUCGAGCUAGAGUCCGGAAGAGGCGAGUGGAAUUCCUGGUGUAGCGGUGAAAUGCGCAGAUAUCAGGAGGAACACCAAUGGCGAAGGCAGCUCGCUGGGACGGUACUGACGCUGAGACGCGAAAGCGUGGGGAGCAAACAGG
rnacentral:rRNA from 1 species